rnacentral:rRNA from 1 species
UACGGAGGGUGCGAGCGUUGUCCGGAAUCACUGGGCGUAAAGGGCGCGUAGGUGGCGCGACAAGUCAGUGGUGAAAGUUCGACGCUCAACGUCGAAUCGGCCACUGAUACUGUUGGGCUUGAGCACUGUAGAGGCUAAUGGAAUUCCGGGUGUAGCGGUGGAAUGCGUAGAGAUCCGGAAGAACACCGGUGGCGAAGGCGGUUAGCUGGGCAGU